CGCGUAGGCGGCCGUUUAAGUCAGGUGUGAAAGCCCGGGGCUUAACCCCGGAAGUGCAUUUGAUACUGAGCGGCUUGAGUAUGGGAGAGGGAAGUGGAAUUCCUGGUGUAGAGGUGAAAUUCGUAGAUAUCAGGAGGAACACCGGUGGCGAAGGCGACUUCCUGGACCAAUACUGACGCUGAGGCGCGAAGGCGUGGGGAUCAAACAG
rnacentral:rRNA from 1 species